UCUAAAUAUGACACUCCACUUCUUCACAAAAUGGUAAUUCUUGUUUGCUUUUGUGUCACAGAACUCCCUGAUGCCAGAUCUUUCAGAUUGGCCUUGGGGUAUUGGAGGAAGAAACUUCUAAUCCUCAGAUCUGGUAUUCUCAUGACUUUAGGCACUAAUCAGUGUUGUGUCUAUCUACUGAAUAGAAGAGCUCAUACUUUGGGCACCCCUUUGUGACUCUAAGGAAAAACCACUUGACCAAUAGUCUCAAAGUUGUAGAUGGAUACAAUAUCUUUAUUUAUUUAUUUUUAUGUGAUGCUGAGGAUUGAACCUAGGGCCUCACAUGUG